rnacentral:rRNA from 1 species
UACGGAGGGUGCAAGCGUUAUCCGGAUUUACUGGGUUUAAAGGGUGCGUAGGUGGAUUGGUAAGUCAGUGGUGAAAUCUCCGAGCUUAACUUGGAAACUGCCAUUGAUACUAUUAAUCUUGAAUAUUGUGGAGGUCAGCGGAAUAUGUCAUGUAGCGGUGAAAUGCUUAGAUAUGACAUAGAACACCAAUUGCGAAGGCAGCUGGCUACACAUAUAUUGACACUGAGGCACGAAAGCGUGGGGAUCAAACAGG